rnacentral:rRNA from 1 species
GAUGAACGCUGGCGGCGUGCCUAAUACAUGCAAGUCGAGCGAACAGACGAGGAGCUUGCUCCUCUGACGUUAGCGGCGGACGGGUGAGUAACACGUGGAUAACCUACCUAUAAGACUGGGAUAACUUCGGGAAACCGGAGCUAAUACCGGAUAAUAUAUUGAACCGCAUGGUUCAAUAGUGAAAGACGGUUUUGCUGUCACUUAUAGAUGGAUCCGCGCCGCAUUAGCUAGUUGGUAAGGUAAUGGCUUACCAAGGCAACGAUGCGUAGCCGACCUGAGAGGGUGAUCGGCCACACUGGAACUGAGACACGGUCCAGACUCCUACGGGAGGCAGCAGUAGGGAAUCUUCCGCAAUGGGCGAAAGCCUGACGGAGCAACGCCGCGUGAGUGAUGAAGGUCUUCGGAUCGUAAAACUCUGUUAUUAGGGAAGAACAAAUGUGUAAGUAACUAUGCACGUCUUGACGGUACCUAAUCAGAAAGCCACGGCUAACUACGUG